rnacentral:lncRNA from 1 species
ACAAACACACAAUCAAGCUACAUUGUUCAUCAAACAUCAAAAACCUAACAUUUACCCAAACAUGCAUAUAUCCCUAAACAUGCCAUUCUACCCCAUGAAUCUUGCAUAAAACUUGUUUAAAACAUAAAAAGACUUCAAGAUCGACCCUUACCUCUUGAAGAUCGAGAGUAGAGGCGAUCUAACUUGGAGUUGGGAGAAAUUUAGCUCCUUGGGUCUCCAAGCUCAAAACUUGCU